rnacentral:rRNA from 1 species
CCUACGGGAGGCAGCAGUGGGGAAUAUUGGGCAAUGGACGAGAGUCUGAACCAGCCAAGUAGCGUGAAGGAUGACUGCCCUAUGGGUUGUAAACUUCUUUUAUAUGGGAAUAAAACGUUCCACGUGUGGGAUUUUGUAUGUACCAUAUGAAUAAGGAUCGGCUAACUCCGUGCCAGCAGCCGCGGUAAUACGGAGGAUCCGAGCGUUAUCCGGAUUUAUUGGGUUUAAAGGGAGCGUAGGUGGAUUGUUAAGUCAGUUGUGAAAGUUUGCGGCUCAACCGUAACAUUGCAGUGGAAACUGGCAGUCUUGAGUACAGUAGAGGUGGGCGGAAUUCGUGGUGUAGCGGUGAAAUGCUUAGAUAUCACGAAGAACUCCGAUUGCGAAGGCAGUUCACUGGACUGCAACUGACACUGAGGCUCGAAAGUGUGGGUAUCAAACAGGAUUAGAUACCCCUGUAGUC